rnacentral:rRNA from 1 species
GGGUCUCGCUCGUUGCCUGACUUAACAGGAUGCUUCACUGUACGAACUGACGACGGCCAUGCACCACCUCUCAGCUAAUCCGGCAAAGUCUUCAGCCUGGCCUUCAUAUUGCUGUCGGUCCCGGUAAGAUUUCCGGCGUUGAAUCCAAUUAAACCGCAAGCUCCACCCGUUGUGGUGCUCCCCCGCCAAUUCCUUUAAGUUUCAGCCUUGCGGCCGUACUUCCCAGGUGGCUCGCUUCACGGCUCCCCUACGGCACCGACAACGGUCGCACCGUGGCCGACACCUAGCGAGUAUCGUUUACGGCUAGGACUACCCGGGUAUCUAAUCCGGUUCGUGCCCCUAGCUUUCGUCCCUUGCCGUCAGGUCCGUUCUGGUGAGACGCCUUCGCCACUGGUGGUCCUUCAAGGAUUACAAGAUUUCACCCCUUACCCCUGAAGUACCUCUCACCUCUCCCGGCCUCGAGCCAGACAGUAUCUCCUGAAAGCCUGACAGUUAAGCUGCCAGAUUUCUCAAGAGACUUAUCCGGCCGGCUACAGACCCUUUAGACCCAAUAAUAACGGUUACCACUCGAGCCGCCGGUGUUACCGCGGCGGCUGGCACCGGUCUUGCCCGGCCCUUGCUAUGAAAUGCUUUUUUAGGCAUCUCGACAGCCAGAUUUGUAACCUGGCACUCGAGGGUCCCUUAUCGCUGUUGCCAGCAUUGUAAAGUUUUCGCGCCUGCUGCACCCCGUAGGGCCUGGAUUCGUGUCUCAGAAUCCAUCUCCGGGCUCUUGCUCUCACAACCCGUACCCGUCGUAGGCUAGUAGGUACGCUACACCCACUACUACCUGAUAGGCCGCAGACCCAUCCUUAGGCGCCGGAGCUUUUAAUCUCGGUGCAUUCCAGCAGCCGAGACUUAUAGGGGAUUAUACCCAGUUUCCCGGGUUUAUACCCAACCUAAGGGCAGGUUGUCCACGUGUUACUGAGCAGUACGCCAUGUAUUGCUACAUUCGACUCGCAUGGCUUAGUCGAACCUCGAUAGCAGUAACCUCUGGCAGGAUCAACCAGA